rnacentral:rRNA from 1 species
CGUGUAGGCGGAUUGAUAAGUUUGAAGUGAAAUCCUAUAGCUUAACUAUAGAACUGCUUUGAAAACUGUUAAUCUAGAAUGUGGGAGAGGUAGAUGGAAUUUCUGGUGUAGGGGUAAAAUCCGUAGAGAUCAGAAGGAAUACCGAUUGCGAAGGCGAUCUACUGAAACAAUAUUGACGCUGAGACGCGAAAGCGUGGGGAGCAAACA